rnacentral:rRNA from 1 species
GACGAACGCUGGCGGCGUGCUUAACACAUGCAAGUCGAACGGAAAGGCCCCCACCUUGGUGGGGGUGCUCGAGUGGCGAACGGGUGAGUAACACGUGGGUGAUCUGCCCUGUACUUCGGGAUAAGCUUGGGAAACUGGGUCUAAUACCGGAUAGGACCAUGGUUUAGUGUCUCAUGGUGGAAAAAUUAUUGUUUUGGUGCAGGAUGAGCUCGCGGCCUAUCAGCUUGUUGGUGGGGUAAUGGCCUACCAAGGCGUCGACGGGUAGCCGGCCUGAGAGGGUGGACGGCCACAUUGGGACUGAGAUACGGCCCAGACUCCUACGGGAGGCAGCAGUGGGGAAUAUUGCACAAUGGGCGCAAGCCUGAUGCAGCGACGCCGCGUGGGGGAUGACGGCCUUCGGGUUGUAAACUCCUUUCGUUGGGGACGAAGCCACACCUUUUUUGGGUGUGGUGACGGUACCUUUGUUAAGAAGCACCGGCUAACUACGUG